AAGAAAAACAAAAAAAGGGACAAGCCGUAGGUGGUGGAACACAGGGGUAAUCCUAGAACUUGGGAGGCAGAGGCACAUUCAAAGCUAGACUGGACUAUGUGUCAAGUUCCAGCAUGCUCAGGGCUAUAUAGUGAAACACAUAUGUAUACGUACAUACAUAAGGGAGUGCAAUGGGUACAUGAAUGCAGACAUGAGGCACAGCUGCUCCCUUAAAGCAAUCUGUAAAACAAACAGCGUCUGAGGGUUCUUCAGGCACUCAGAGUUUCUCUCCCCAUUUUCUCCCCACUUUUUGUCCCCUUUCUCCGAAUCUCUCCAUUUCCUCCACUCUGCAAACAUGUCUCGACCUGUUUAUGAGACGCUCGCAGCUUCCUGGAUUCCUGUGUCCCCCAAACAACUCUGCUUUAAAGUCCAUGAGACCUUAGGUUUGUGGAGAACACAGAAAGCUGGGUAUGGCCCUAGGAGUCUUUUCCUCUUGAUUCCAUCGUGCCUCCAUCCCUUCCCUUCCGGUCCAUCUUCCCCACACCCCUCUCCUCAGAUACCCUUUCUAUGCCUCCUUUCCUGUCGUCUAAGCUCCUUAUCCCUCCUUGGAGGCCAGAGAGCCAAGCCAUCACAUCCGUGUUCCAUCUGUGAGUUCUCUAUUUCCGUGGGAAAACAAGACAGGAGUGACCAUUGCAGAAGACAAUGCCCGCGGUGGCCUGUGGGAGGCUGCUGGCACGGACCUGAGCCCAAGUCACAGCUGUUCACUGCAGCUGAAAAGACAGGUUGACAAACAGAUGACUAGUCGCUCGAGCUUGCUGGCAGGACAGUCAAGUCAUUUUGCCAGGCAAAGCUAGGGAAAAGUCUGAUAGCUUCCAGAUGAUUUCCAAACACACUUGAGGGGGAGACAUACAAUUGGAAUUUGGUGGGUGCAGCAAUCUCUCUGUAGUAUCUUGUAAAUUGGAGGGUUUACAAUAGAAAUUUGACAGUUUCCAGUUAGGGAUGAUAAACAUUGAACUUUGUUCCCCAUCAGCCCCGGGUCAUUGUGAAGAAAGAGUUCACUCAGAGUUGAAACCGAACAACCAGGAAAAGCAGAAGGAAACACGCUGCGUAUGAACACUGGAGAGGCUUAAGUGGGUUGAAAAUGGACUCUUUGGAAAGGAACAAAAAUCUCUGAAAAGACUGGGGAUUUCAACAGUCUUUGUUUUCCAAACGUGCUACCAGAAGAGAGUGAGCUGACCCACAGUGUGCUAACACACCACAGAGCUGCAACCUUGAGAUAAGGAGUAAAGGAAAAAGUCAAAAUACCACAGCUGAAGUUGAGUACUACAGACAAAUCCGUCUUUCCUCCAGACCCUUCCCCCGGGCAUGAGGGAACACACUGGCCUGGGCAUUCGCUCUGAUGAACUUGAACUCACAUAUAUCCACCCCCCCCCCCCCCGUGCGGCCCAAAUGCAGACUGGACAGGCUAUCGGCUUCGUGAAUUGACCCACUGAGUAUUUACUAGUGUGUAUCUGCUUGGUCCGAAUGCCAUCUGAAGUUGUCAGAGAGGCCAUAGAUAUUUACAAGGUAUGGAAGACUCACAAGUUCUGUGCCUUCCAGAAACUUCUCUAGUUUAUAUGAAAAGAAAAUAAUCUGAGAAUCUAGCCCACAGAAUUGAGAGGAAACACAGAAGAGUGGCCGUGUCAGACAACCAGAGCGGCUUUCCCCGGAUUCUGAGUAUCUGGGCAGAGACUGCAUUGAAAUCUGGGUCAACUUGAGUGGGAUAGCUACCAUAGAUCAAAAGACAGAACGGGGAAAGAGAUGCAGAGAACUGGUGGGAAGGGGAGGGCCCUCGGGGAAUCUGUAUCAAACUGAUCAAGGAGUCAAGCCUAGAGUUCUGAGGUGAUAGACAAAAGAACUAAUACUGUCUGAGCCAGCCGCAAGAACUCUGAGGUGAGGUGAUUUCAGGACAUUUUCUCAGUACGGAGCUUGCUCCACGCUAAGCAUCUACACACAGGAGUUCAGCUGAUGCCCUCACCCAAGCGCCUGGUGAGAGAAACAUUCCUCUUACCUGUUUCUCUUACGAAGAAACAGACCCAGAAAACACAAGUAGCUCGCUCUUCCUCUAGGACAAACACCUAGAAGGGGUGAAGCCAGAGUCAGAUUCCUGCUCUGCCUGCCUUAAAACCCAUGUUCGGGCCUGGCGACAAAGCCCUUGCCUCUAUCCCCGAUCACCUAAGUUCUAUCCCUGGGCCCAACAUAGAGGAAAAAAGAGAACUGAUUCCUUCCUGCAAGUUGCCAUGCUAUGGCAUGAACAUUCCACUUCAAUGCCAUACAGACACACACACACACACACACACGCACGCACUCUCUCUCUCUCUCUCUCUCUCUCUCUCUCUCUCAAUGUAAUUAUUUUAAAAAUGUACUUAGUGUGUCUGGUUAUUUUGCCUGCAUGUAUGAGUGUGCACCUCAUGGACUCUGAUGCCCAAGGAUGCCAGAAGAGGUGUCUGACUCCCUGGGCCUGUAGUACAACUACAGCUGUGAGCCCUCAAUUGGAUGCUGGGAAUCUAACCCAGGUCCCCUGGAAGAGCAGCAGUCAGUGCUCUUAGCCAGUAAGACAUCUCUCCAGCCCCAAUAAAUUUAGUUUAGUUUUUUGUUUUUUUUAAUUAAGAGUAGCUGAGCUUGAUGGCUAUAUUCUUAGCCCUUGGGAGAUGGAGGAGGCAGGAAGAUCACUGUAAACCAAGGCCAACCUGCUCUCCGUAGCAAGGUCGCAGACCUUCUCUAAAAGAAUAAUCAUAAACAGUUGUGUGGAAUUAAACUUUGAAAGGAAAGACUCCUUUGCUUUCAACCAUUUACGUUAAAUAUAAUGAUCAGUGGACCGUGA